ensembl:lncRNA
AGAAAUCCUAUUAGUGCCCAGUUAAGAGAAUAGCUGUGUCAUGAAUUCAGUGCUUAUUAGAGGAUCCAGAGGGACUCCCAGCAUACAGAUGCAAAUCCACAGGAAAUUAGGUCCCUGAAUUCUAGUGCUCAACGAAAUCGCUGUUUUUGUGAAGGUGCUCUCAAAUAUGAAUGGUGAGAAAUUGGUCUCAUUUAUAUUUCUGUAAAUCAAGAAUAACUGCAGAGCAAGGAGAUGGAGUCAUCAUUCUUAGAUAUUUCAACAGCUCCCAUGGCCUCAGAAUCUGAGUGUUUCUAUAUCUAUGUGGAUCAAUUACUGCCUGUGAGCUGGGGAAAUGCUAAUAUCCUCAUUGCACAGACUGCAUCUGAGACAGACAGAGACUGGAGACCAGUUCCCUAACAAGAUUUAAAUAUAUAAUUCCUAUUGAUUUCUACUGCUAAUCAAGGGACAUUAGAUGCUCUGUACUAGGCAGUUGUUUUUUUUUUUUUUUUCAGAAAAUAUAUGUUGAAGGAUGGAAUUGAGCUGACAUGUUCUGCAUUCGUGGUUACCUCUUUAAUCACAGAACCUUCUUCCCCGGCUGGAGAAGACUCUUCCUCACUGUGCAGUGGCCUGCAGGAGCUAAAUGGGAACGGGAAGGAGGGGAGAAGGAUGCUUUUGUUUUCCUUUUAUCAUUUUUGGAGGUGAUCAGAUGCUGCAGAAUUCUGCAAGGACGGGGGAAGGAGGCUGAUGUCACCUGGCUGUUUGUUUCUGCAAGCAGAGAGCGCAUCUUCAACUGGAUCCUGGAAGCACAGAGCUUUAUGAGGAGCCUCAGUGAUGCCCAUCCUCACCGUGUGCCUACAGAGGGGGAGGGAGAAAGAAAAUGAAUCCCCUUGUAUGAGAGGUGAAAUGAUGCUGACAGAAGGAUAAAAUCAACCAAACUCCAAACAGCAAUUCUUGCUGUGAUUUGGAUCUGAGCAAUAAAUAUAUGUUUUAUCUUGCUGGGGCUUGGAUAUAAUUGAAUCGAACUUUGUUGGAAAAUUAGCCCAGACAUGCUGAAAGCUUCACACAAUUCGAAACCAGGCAGUUUUGCUUGGUUCAGGUUUAAUUAUGAAUGGUUCACUCAGCCCUGGUAAUGACUCAUAUUCACUAACUAGCCUGUAUAUGAGAUGUGACAAAAGUGUAGUUCAGAUACACAAAGCAUAAUUAUUUAAUGAUGAAGUAAAGUUGAUUAGGAAGCCUUUAAGCUAUUACACUCUUAGCAGGGUAUUUUGCAGUCACUGAAUAAAUGAACAUAAUUUAAUUCUUAAAAGCUGCAUAGCUCCUGCUGCUUUAGAAAAUGAUAUGUAGCAAACACAAUAGGUUUUUCCCAUUACAGAAUUCUAUAUGCUACAACCAACAGCAUACAGAAUGCAAUGCAAUGCCACUAAGAAUAAGGAAAACUAUUCUUAGUGACUAUCCAGGCUAAAAAUGAUAGAAUUCACAUAUCCACUAACAAUCAUGAACCUGACAAAUCAAGCUUGUAAGCCUGUGGUGUGAUCUGAAAACCUAACAAGCUUCCAAGAAGAAUCUCCAUUUUAAAAAUACACUCUUUCUUCCUGGAUUCUUUUUUUUUUUCCCCCUCAUGAUAUGUGCAAGACUGAACAGCCUGAGAACAGCUGUGCCACUGAAGGGAUAUAUUUAUAUAUUAUGUAGCUGUGUUCCAAUUAUGAAAUUGAUCCAUGGAUAAAAAUCCCUCAAGGGUGGCUAUUAAUGAGAUUGUCUGCUCUGAGUGCAUCCAGUAAUAAGAUUAGGUAUGCAUUUAUCCUGAGUAGAGAUAAACCAAAGACAAGUUCGUGCCAAGAUAAGACAGUUUUGAAAGGCAAUUAAACAUGGGACAUAAUGUGCAUGCAUAUAUCUGUGGGAGGCUGCAGGAUGCAAAGUUGGUUUUCAUCUGCAGAAGUGCUCCUGAAUGUAACAGGUAGGGAGAAAUAGGCUUUUUCACAGGAGUGAGAGUAAAUUCCAUCUCAAAAAUCAAAAUGUUGGAAUCUCUAAUUUACAAACCAGUAUUAUUAAAAAUGCACCCUGGCCUUUUUUGUUUGGUUGUUUGUUUUUUUUUUCUCCACUUAUGAAAGGCUUGUAAACACCCUUGACAAUUAGCAGCUGUUCAGUGAGAUGAGAGUCAAUCAACACUUGGAGUUCAGAGAACAGAGCACCUUAACAGACCCAGGC